rnacentral:tRNA from 1 species
AAGAUGGACCCUAAAAAGUCCUUUAAACA